UACGAAGGGGGCUAGCGUUGCUCGGAAUGACUGGGCGUAAAGGGCGCGUAGGCGGUUCGUACAGUCAGACGUGAAAGCCCCGGGCUCAACUCGGGAAGUGCACUCGAUACUGCGUGGCUUGAGUACUGGAGAGGUUGGUGGAAUUCUCGGUGUAGAGGUGAAAUUCGUAGAUAUCGAGAGGAACACCGGUGGCGAAGGCGGCCAACUGGACAGAUACUGACGCUGAGACACGAAAGCGUGGGGAGCAAACAGG
rnacentral:rRNA from 1 species